CCGGGGUCCCUCAGGUGUGUCCCCACCCCGCGGUGCCCCUCACCUGUAAUCCUCCCGCGUGGCCACAAGGCUGGAGACGUUCCUGAGGAUGCCACCGCCGCUCUCGAUGAUGGCCAGGGAGUUGCUCUGGCACUUGUAGCACCUUCUUGCUGUUGAUGUCAGCGCGCCAGGAGAGGUUCCUCAGGAUGCUGGAGACCACCUGGAGGGGCAGGGCAGGCCCCUGCGGGAGCACAGCGUGGCCUGCGGGGAGGACGAGGGUGGUGAGGGUGACGCUGUGAC